rnacentral:rRNA from 1 species
UGCGUAGGCGGGCCGAUAAGUCGGAUGUGAAAUCUCACAGCUUAACUGUGAGUCGCCAUUCGAAACUGUCGGUCUUGAGUGCAGGAGAGGAGAGUGGAAUUCCUGGUGUAGCGGUGAAAUGCGUAGAUAUCAGGAGGAACACCGGUGGCGAAGGCGGCUCUCUGGACUGACACUGACGCUGAGGCACGAAGGCCGGGGAGCAAACA